rnacentral:rRNA from 1 species
UACGUAGGGUGCGAGCGUUGUCCGGAAUUACUGGGCGUAAAGAGCUCGUAGGUGGUUUGUCGCGUUGUUCGUGAAAACCGGGGGCUUAACCCUCGGCGUGCGGGCGAUACGGGCAGACUUGAGUACUGCGAGGGGGAGACUGGAAGUUCCUGGUGUAGCGGUGAAAUGCGUAGAUAUCGGGAGGAACACCUGAGGCGAAGGCGGGCUACUGGGCCGAUACUGACGCUGAUGUGCGAAAGCCAGGGGAGCGAACGGG